CACUAAGAUGCUAAAUUGGGCCUGAGCGUCAGCCUUUUAAGCUGAAAAUUGGUGGCCCCCAACCACCCUUAGUGA
ensembl:Mt_tRNA tRNA-Lys